CAUACUUUCAUAGAAAUAUUUAGUUUAGCUCCAUUCGACAUCGUCGGCAGUCGACUUUUCUAUUCUUUUCCUAUAUCAACUACAAAAUAUUUGGAUUCAAAAUAAAAUUUUAUACAAACCGGUCAAUAUUCGUCGUAAAUAAAUGCAAAGCUGCUGGUUCAUUUGGUUAUUAUUGAAGAUGUUAUCACAGCAUGGUACUUCCGAGCUAAUGGAAUUUUUCUGCAGUAACUAAACUAUAGAGGUUUGUAAAUAUUAAUGGCCUCUUCAACAAUUUUCACCAAGCAGCUGGACAAUAAAUAUGUAGUUUUGGAUACUCGCCAGUCAGGAUGCUCUGUCAAUGAAUUUGGUAUGCCCAAACUCGAAGGAGUUUCACCUCCAUAAGAGCGGCAGACCUGGAGA